CCAGAUGCCCCCAUAGACAUGGUUAACAUGUUGUUUAAAAAAUAUGUCAAAGACAAACUGGAUAAAAGUAAACUUAAUCAAGCAAAUCAGUCACGCACCCAAAUUGUGGAGAGGAAGUUGGGUCAGGUAUGGGGGGCUGUAUUCAACAAGCUAUGAUGGACAAGAGCACCUUCAGUGUACUUAUCUUAAUGGAAUAGCUCAGAAUGUUUUGCUCUCCUGUAACGAAUACUUUUUUUGUUUUUCAUGUGUUCCCUUGAUACAAUGUUAGAAACUGCAUGUGAGGAUAGUAGUCUUGCUACGUAUUCAAAAUCAUGUGUUGCAAUUAUUUUAGGCACAUUCCUCUAAAAAAGAAGGGUAUUUAAGUGUUUUGUUUCCCUCUAUGAUUGGUUUUCAUGUUUUGUAUGACCAUGUUGUCUUUUGAUACAGGGAUAUUUCUGCUCUGAGCUUUGAGUCUGCUUGUUAUGAGCGGUAAUUGCCUCUACUUUAUUUUGUGUUAUAUAUUUUAAUGUUCUUAUAGGAGCAAAACAGAAAUAAAAGAGCCCACAGGUGUAUUUAUACCUUUUCCACAAAUGUCUUUCCUACAUACACAUGCCAAUGUUCAGGCCCCUGUUCAGGCCCCAAUUAACCGAAAUUCUGUAUUUUUAAAACUAAUCCACAAACCUUAACUAGAAUACUUCCGUUUUCAUCAGCUUUUUGUGCAGCUUUUAGGCUGGAAUCCCAACUUGAUUUGUGUGCAUAACUUGAUGAACACAGAUCUCAAGUUAGGAUUUGGCCCUCGUAUGCUAAAUUUAGUUCAAACCAAAUAAGUAAAAGACAACACAAAAAAUAUCUAUUUUUGUGUGCUUUUUUUUACUGACACUAACUGAUGUUUGUGAUGUUUUUCCCCACAAUGAUGUUUCCUGUGGUGGCUGAGAGCGAGACAGAGUCCAGCACCUUCUCCAGCCUGGGCUCCACUUUCAGAGACAAGACCUCCACAAAGCCACUUAUCAAGGUCAUUUUUGAUGGCAUGGGUGCUGCCACUUUAGAGAAGAAACUCACAAGGAACCUCAUCUGGACAAAGGUUUCUGUUCUGGAGAUAGUUACUGUAUUUGUAAAGGUGGACUCAUCAAUAUGACAAUCAUACAAAGCGGGGCAAAUUACUACAUACAGAAAUCAACAACAGUAUUCAAAUCUUCUGAGAUUGCUACUUGAGGCUUCUCCCAAUCUGGGCUAGGCUCAAGGGAGGGUGCAGAUUGGGACGAGCCAAUCAGUUUUGGCAGAUUUUUUAUUCUGUUUUCUGGAAGCAGAAAGAAGCCCUGCUGUGUAUGAUGUAAUUUUAGAAAGUCAGCCUUUAAUAGUCAUGAUGUCAUGAUCUGAUUUGCUGUUCUUUUUCAAACAUGUUAGCAGAAACUACUGUAGUUACCAUAAUGAGCCAGUAUUGGGUGAUAUUUUGGACCCAUUAUAGACGUUUGAGAUUUGUUCAUGAACUCAAUGCUUUGCUUAUGGAUUCUAAGCAAAGCCAAAUAGAUGGCAAUCGUAUUAGGUAAUUUAGAUUGAACAUGUGUUACAAUUUGGCUAAAUCUAUGCCAAAGUGACCAUCAACAAUAAGGUAAUACUUUUUCUUGUUAUUGAUAAAUAUGGUCAGAUUCAUAUCACUGUGUUAACAUUGCAAUUUUGUGUUUAUUUUUCAGGGUAAGUCAGAAGUUAUUUUCCCUCUCUUGGUUUCAUCAGUCUCCUUUUUCUGCUUUGGUGCCCAUGUAAGACUAAAGGCCAGAGAGAUGUUCAACAAUGGGCCCUGUGGAUAUUUCUCAGAACAUUUUAAAACAUAUGUAACACUUUUGUCCAUGUACUUAACUUUAUUUGUGUAAUCCAACCCUAAUAAUUGGACACCACUUUUUCCAAUAUAUGAUAAAACAUCUAUGUAUAUUUUGUCUGCUGUUGAGAACAUAACUUGUAUUCAUUUUCACGUGUGUUUUAAUAUAAUAAACAUGUCUGUGAAAAAU
ensembl:lncRNA